ACGCUGGCGGCGUGCCUAAUACAUGCAAGUAGAACGCUGAAGGAGGAGCUUGCUCUUCUGGAUGAGUUGCGAACGGGUGAGUAACGCGUAGGUAACCUGCCUGGUAGCGGGGGAUAACUAUUGGAAACGAUAGCUAAUACCGCAUAACAGUAGAUGUUGCAUGACAUUUGCUUAAAAGGUGCAAUUGCAUCACUACCAGAUGGACCUGCGUUGUAUUAGCUAGUUGGUGGGGUAACGGCUCACCAAGGCGACGAUACAUAGCCGACCUGAGAGGGUGAUCGGCCACACUGGGACUGAGACACGGCCCAAACUCCUACGGGAGGCAGCAGUAGGGAAUCUUCGGCAAUGGACGGAAGUCUGACCGAGCAACGCCGCGUGAGUGAAGAAGGUUUUCGGAUCGUAAAGCUCUGUUGUAAGAGAAGAACGAGUGUGAGAGUGGAAAGUCCACACUGUGACGGUAUCUUACCAGAAAGGGACGGCUAACUACGUGCCAGCAGCCGCGGUAAUACGUAGGUCCCGAGCGUUGUCCGGAUUUAUUGGGCGUAAAGCGAGCGCAGGCGGUUAGAUAAGUCUGAAGUUAAAGGCUGUGGCUUAACCAUAGUACGCUUUGGAAACUGUUUAACUUGAGUGCAAGAGGGGAGAGUGGAAUUCCAUGUGUAGCGGUGAAAUGCGUAGAUAUAUGGAGGAACACCGGUGGCGAAAGCGGCUCUCUGGCUUGUAACUGACGCUGAGGCUCGAAAGCGUGGGGAGCAAACAGGAUUAGAUACCCUGGUAGUCCACGCCGUAAACGAUGAGUGCUAGGUGUUAGACCCUUUCCGGGGUUUAGUGCCGUAGCUAACGCAUUAAGCACUCCGCCUGGGGAGUACGACCGCAAGGUUGAAACUCAAAGGAAUUGACGGGGGCCCGCACAAGCGG
rnacentral:rRNA from 1 species